rnacentral:lncRNA from 1 species
GUUCACGUGUUGUGAUUCGGAUUUGUCUUGCCAGUUUUUAUUUGAAGCAACAUUCGAUGACAAAAAUCCAGAGCUGCAGAGCUGUGAAAAAUCCACGGUGUGCAGAGUGUGCAUGCACACUCUGCACACCGUGUGCACGGUGCACGGUGCACACACAUCCACGGUACACCGGUGCACGGUGCACACCGUGUGCACACCGUGGAUUUUUCACAGCUCAUUUGUGCACAGUUCAUUCGUGCAUGCACACCCUGCAUGGCCAGUAGAACCGGGCCUGGAUGUCAAAAUUAGCUUUGAUUGAUGAAUAUGAUGUAAAUUGUGAAUACCAUUAAUUUCAAUGGAAUAGACACUUUAAAGACAGUUGAGAGGAUUUGAAUGACAAGGAAUGCCUAGGUUAUCGAAAGUUGUUGAACAGUGAUGAAUUUGUGAAGAAAGUAUGUAAAUUUAUCAAUAUCAAUUCAAAUGAGACA